rnacentral:lncRNA from 1 species
UAUCUGUCUGUCUGUCUGUCUGUCUGUCUGUCUGUCUGUCUGUCUGUCUGUCUGUCAUCUAAUCUGAUCUGUCUAAUCUAUCUAUCACCGCUGUUCUCCUGGCCGGCAGGAGGCGGUAGAGCUCCUUCUGCUGAUUCACUCCUCUGUAUUAUUCUACACUGCUCUGUUCACUGUAUGAGCGAAGCGGAUCCUCUGCGCUUUGUUUACUGUGUUAAAAGGGCUUAUUAAAGAAGAACAGCGGGGUUUAACAGCAGGAAAAUGACUAAACUGGACCGUUUAAACUCUUUUCUGUCUGAGCGGCUGUCGGCCGCGCUGAAUGAGAUUAUCUACACGGUGAGCAUGACGAUGAAAGAGUACGAGGAGGAAACGGCGCGGAUACGGAAAGAAAACGACUAUCUGAAGGAAAUGCUAAAGGUUACAGGAGGAAGCGCAGCAGAGGAGAACCCGGGUGUGGUCAACUCUGCUGUGGUCUCCCCCAUGACUCAUGGACAGCAGGACCUCAACCCAAGCCUGGAGCAGGAAACAGAGACCCAGGAGAGCCAGAAUGAGCACCGAGGCCUAAAGGAAGAAAACUGUAGCAUCAUCAAAACAGAGCAGCCCUGCCCUUACCCUUCAGAAGCUGACGCAGAGCCUGAGACCAGGGAUGCCUCUGCCACACAGACAGACUACACCAUCGACCAGCUUCAGUCUAACCCUCACUCAAACACACAGGCUGUCGAUCAAGAGAUAAUUGACUAUGAGUUCCCAGCAAAGAUCAAAACAGAGUUAGUUAACACAGACUCUCAUUCAGAUAGCGCUACAACGAACAUUGCAGACACAGCCCGACGGGCCUGGUCUCCACACAACUGGGAUAUAAUUCCAGAAAUAAACGACCAAAAUAGGCUACAACAAGCGGCUGCGUUUCAGCAGCUGUGUAGUAGUAUUGACGGACCUCCCUCUGCACAGCCUGGCCAACACAACAGACCGGUGGAGUUUCGAGCAGCGUUCAGCUACACAAACCGCGUCAUUUGCAAUAACACACUGCACUGUACCAGCAGACACUGUGAAAUGCAGAAGAGGACCAUAGCUAAAUCCAGUCCUGUGUGGAAGUAUUUCUCUCUGAAAGAGGGCGACUGCAGCAAGGCAGUGUGUCUCAUGUGCCAGGCAGUGAUUUCUCGUGGUGUUAAAGAGUACACAACGUCUGCUCUGUUAAAACACCUGCGAAUGAAACAUGGCAAAUGUUGAUGUUCAGAUUUUUCCUUAAGAUUUUUUUUUUACUGGUAUAAGUAUUGCAAAAAAAAUAUUUGGAAAUGAACUGUAUUUAAUUCAAAAUUAUGUCUCAGCUGUAAAAUACAUUUUUCAUAUGUUGCUAAUUUCUUAAAAAUCCAUAAUUAUUUGUUCAUGUAAACAAAGUCUAAUAUGCUAAUUCCAGAGAGAAGCCCAGAGGUAAUCAUUUUAAAAACCCACUGUGAAAAUUCUAAACACACCCCCAGAUUAAAGGUUCCAUAGAAUGGAUCAUUUUAUUUUACUUGGCAAAGUUUAGAAAUUAGAAUUAAGUACAUGGAAGUGACAUCCCAUGAGCUAACGCUGCACAAUUUAUUGUUUUAGCAUCUUAAUUGCAAUGGGUGCAUGCACAAUAGUCACAUCGCAGGAUGUGCAAUGUUGCGUAAGUCAACUCAUUUUCUAUCUACCAAUAACUAGAUUAUACCUGUCUAAUAUCAUUUUAAAUCUGCAUAUCACCAAAUUAAAACCCUGAACUGUAAUUUAACCUCUUUUAGCCUCUUCUUUGUAGUGUAUUUUUUUUCUGCCUCUUUUGUAGUCAGUUUACGUAAACAUUCAUUCCCAAUAUGUGCUUUAUUAACAGUGGUAAGCAUAACUUUACCUGACUGUGGUAGACAUGAGAGAUGUGCAGUCUGGGUUUCUGUGGGAGAACCAAGUCUUGCGACUGCUGCUGCGUAAGCAGGCAUCUCUAACCUGUUUUAUAAAUUUCUUGUGAUGAUGCUGUAAAAUCAGCUAUGGCUAUGCUAACACUGUGGUUGUAAAAAAUAAUUGACAUAUUAAAGUUUUACAAUAUUACCUUCUGCAAUUCUGUAUCGAUUUUCAAAAAUAUAGCAUCGAUUUUAAAAGUUUACAUUAUAAGUGGCAGACACUGACUCUGUGAUCUCUAGAUAGAUUGUUUUUGUGAUCCUACUGUUCUAAUUGGAUGUAAAGUUAUUUAUUUUUCACUCAGAUUUUAUAAAUAUGAUGGUGUGUUUUUAUACCAUAACAAUUUUCCCCCUCAAAAUUUUAAUAUAUAUCGUCUUGCAUACAGUACCACAAUAUAUCUCAUUAUAUUGGACCUUAACCCCUAUAUCAGGAUCUGUAUCAUAUCGCCAGAUUUUUGCCAACCUUAGUGGAUUCUGUGUGAGCCAUAAAUGAGUCAUAAAUGCCAAUCAGUGAAGGGCUCAUCAAAUUUUCAUAACUUUACCAUAAAAAAAGGGAAAUCAACAUGUUUUGUUUUAGGGCCAACUCAUCCCUGUCUAGGUAUGUUUAUUUCCAACCAAAAUCACAUACCUUCUUGUCAUACAUCAAAACAUUUUUAAAAACUUUAAAACAUUGAAUAAAUGCAUUCUAUGGUACCUUUUAAGAGAAUAA